GAUGAAGAACGUAGCGAAAUGCGAUACGUAAUGUGAAUUGCAAAUUCAGUGAAUCAUCGAGUCUUUGAACGCACAUUGCGCCCCCUGGUAUUCCGGGGGGCAUGCCUGUCCGAGCGUCAUUGCUGCCCUCAAGCACGGCUUGUGUGUUGGGCCCCGUCCUCCGAUCCCGGGGGACGGGCCCGAAAGGCAGCGGCGGCACCGCGUCCGGUCCUCGAGCGUAUGGGGCUUUGUCACCCGCUCUGUAGGCCCGGCCGGCGCUUGCCGAUCAACCCAAAUUUUUAUCCAGGUUGACCUCGGAUCAGGUAGGGAUACCCGCUGAACUUAUGCAUAUCAAUAAGGGAGGA
rnacentral:misc_RNA from 1 species